GUCAUGUCUUUAUUAAAAAAAAAAAACAAAAGGUCUCUUCGUCCAAAUCGACGAUUCUGGAAACACCGAAGAAAAUUAUCCGUCUUUCAGAUUGUAUAAAGGAACACAAACGGUUAAGGAUGGAUUGAGAAGAUAAAGGAUCAAAGCUUUCCAGAAAGAGAUCUUUCAAACAUACCUCCUCUUGACAAUUGGACAACAAUUGUAGAUUGGAGAUCCAGGAACAUCGUUUUGCGGAUCAAAGUUAUUAGGGUUCUUUGAAUCAGCUUUGCGGAUAAAAGAUAGUUGGGUUCGUUUUUGGUCUCAUAAAGCAUCUGACUCAUACUUUAUCACAGAUCGACACUACAAUGACAAAGGAGAUAAAUCUAUACUAUUACAAAGAGUCUAAUUUGAGAGAAUUCUAGCUACCGUCCAUAGAU